ACUGAUGAUGCAUAGUCAAGAUAGACUAUCCUGACCAGAAAGCCCUUUUCAUAUAAAAUCCACAACACAUUUUGCCGUCUCCUCCACAAAACAAAAAUAAUUCCUCUGUUUCAUACUGUUUGUUUUUCUUCAUAGACUUAGAAGAUCAGUCUAGAAGUCUUCUUCCUUUGCCUUUGCCUUUCUUUCAACACAGAUCGUAAUGAGCGAUCCAAAAUAUGCCUAUCCCUACCCUGCUCAAGGUUACUAUCAAGGCCCUCCGGUGAUGGCCCCUCCCCAGUAUGCUGCUCCGCCACCCAGGAGAGAGGCAGGUUUCCUUGAGGGAUGUCUUGCGGCCCUGUGUUGCUGCUGCCUUCUUGACGAGUGCUGCUGCGAUCCUUCCAUCAUCUUUAUAAGUUAAUUAACAUUUUAUAAAUUAUAUAUUAGCAGCUAUAAUGCAUGAUUAUGUUAUUUCCUUUUUACUUUAGCUUUGUUAUGCUUUGACGUUGUACAAGACACUUUAGUUUGUUCUCUCUUCCAUGACCAUCUUUGUACUCUAAUUCCCUCUUAA